rnacentral:rRNA from 1 species
UCGGGAAUAUUGGACAAUGGGGGAAACCCUGAUCCAGCAACGCCGCGUGAGUGAAGAAGGCCCUUGGGUUGUAAAGCUCUUUCAUCUGUGAUGAUUAUGACAGUAGCAGAAGAAGAAGCCCCGGCUAACUCCGUGCCAGCAGCCGCGGUAAGACGGAGGGGGCAAGCGUUAUUCGGAAUGACUGGGCGUAAAGGGUGUGUAGGUGGUUUUCUAAGCAAGGUGUGAAAUCUCUGGGCUUAACCCAGAAACUGCGCUUUGAACUGGAGAACUAGAGUGCGAGAGAGGAAAGAGGAAUUCCUAGUGUAGGGGUGAAAUCCAUAGAUAUUAGGAAGAACACCAGAGGCGAAGGC